rnacentral:rRNA from 1 species
UACGAAGGUCCCAAGCGUUAUCCGGAUUAUUGGGUUUAAAGGGUGCGUAGGCGGGCUAUUAAGUCAGUGGUGAAAUCUCCGAGCCUAACUCGGAAAUUGCCAUUGAUACUGAUGGUCUUGAGUACAUUUGAAGUGGGCGGAAUGUGUCAUGUAGCGGUGAAAUGCUUAGAUAUGACACAGAACACCGAUUGCGUAGGCAGCUCACUAAACUGUAACUGACGCUGAGGCACGAAAGCGUGGGGAGCAAACAGG